AGUAAUCAGGACAGCGUGUGUAGCUUCCCUUCCGCAGCGGCAAGCCGAAAAAGUAUACCUGCCGCCCGCCCUAGCUAUAAAUGUGUUCAUGCUGCUGACCUUUCUCUGGCCCCACACAGAGCUGCAGUGUAUUCAGCGCUGAGUCGCUGACAGCACAGUGAUGGAUGUAAGGAGGACGGCAGCCUUCACCUCCACGUUAGUAAAGAGAGAGAGGACUGGAGGGCCUCAUCAUGCAAGUUAAGUUCUCCUCUCUGCACCCCUGCAGUGAGUUGGCAGCCCAAGCUCUGCUGACAGAUGAUCCUCGCUGCUGUCUACAGAUAGGACCUGUGUGAUGGAUACUUUUCCUGUGAAUAUUAUGGUUGCAAAUUAGCAUGUUUAUGGAGGUAAAAGUGCCUGUUUGUAUUCUCCUAGUCAGUGUCUGCAAGGACUGCGCUCCAUCUGCUGCAGAGAACCUGGUGGGAGAAGAGUAAUCUCAGCGAUUCGGAUUGGUCCACACAUCUGCCGUUUUGCUUAUCCCUGGACUGAGUAGCUCCCCAAUAUUAUUUUACAUAAGUAAUGUUUACACUGAUAAUCUCCUGUAAAUUAUAUGUUAUGAACCCA